rfam:Glycine soja cultivar W05 scaffold1660_251, whole genome shotgun sequence.
GUAGGGAUAGCUCAGAUGAGAGAGCGUCAGAUUGAAGAUUUGAAGGUCGCGUGUUUGAUCCACGCUCAUCGCA